UCGGAUCAGGUAGGGAUACCCGCUGAACUUAAGCAUAUCAAUAAGCGGAGGAAAAGAAACCAACAGGGAUUGCCCUAGUAACGGCGAGUGAAGCGGCAACAGCUCAAAUUUGAAAGCUGGCCUUCGGGUCCCCAUUGUAAUUUGUAGAGGAUGCUUUGGGUGAAACGCCAGUCUAAGUUCCUUGGAACAGGACGUCAUAGA
rnacentral:rRNA from 1 species